AUGCGGCACGCGGCUAGGAGAGCUGCGGCCACGCUGCUAUCGCCGUCGACUCUCCCGCCUCCCUCCUCCGCGCCGCUAUCGUCGCCGGCUCCCUCCUCCGCGCCGCUCCUCCAGCGACCCCAGUCCCUUCGCGCAAGAGCGCCCGAGGCAGGACUGGCCCGGACUCCCCGCGAGCGCGUCCCCGUUCCGAGCCCCUGCGUGAGAGGAUCCCACUUCCACGAUGCACGCGGGGUGCUCGACGGAACGCCUACGAGGAGCGCGGCCGCGUGGACGGCGGCCAUCGCUGGCUGCGCGCGCACCGGACGGCACGCGGACGGCAUGGGCGCGUUCGCGGAGAUGCUCGCCGAGGGCGGAGCCGCGCCGAACGCGUUUGUUCUCGCGGCCGUCCUCAGGUGCUGCUCGGGGCUCGGCGACGUGGCGUCAGGCAAGCGCAUCCAUGGGUGGCUGCUGAGGAACGGGGUGCAUCUGGACCGGGUGCUGUGCAAUGCCGUUAUCGAUAUGUACGCCAAGUGUGGGGACUGCGAGCGGGCUAAGCGGGCAUUCAGAGCAAUGGCCGAGGUCGACGCCGUCUCCUGGAACAUCGUGAUCAGCGCGUGUCUGCAGAGCGGCGACGUUCGUGGGGCGAUGCAGCUGUUUGAUGACUCGCCGGUGCGAGACACUUCGAGCUGGAACACAGUCAUCAGCGGCUUGAUGCGGAAUGGGUGCGCUGCCAAGGCGCUGGACCGCCUGUAUCAUAUGGCACGAGCUGGAGUGGAGUUUAAUCACUACACAUACUCCACGGCACUUGCCUUGGCUGGCAUGCUUUCUUUGAUGGACCUCGGCCUGCAGCUCCAUGGCCGUGUGCUGACAGCUGCACUGGAGACUGACGCAUUUGUUCGGAGCUCUCUCAUGGACAUGUACUGCAAGUGCGGCUCAAUGAACGCUGCUGCGUUGAUCUUUGAUAGAUGGUCGCAUCUUACCGGUGACGUGAAAUUUGCAUGGAGCACAAUGGUCGCUGGAUACGUCCAGAAUGGCAGGGAGGAAGAAGCUUUCGAGUUCUUCCGGUUGAUGCUGCGUCAAGGGGUUGCUGCAGAUCAGUUCACCCUCACCAGUGCGGUUGCAGCGUGUGCAAAUGCAGGGAUGGUUGAGCAAGGCAGGCAAGUGCACGGGUGCGUCGAGAAGCUAGGGCACAGUUUUGAUGCACCAUUGGCAUCUAUCAUCGUCGACAUGUAUGCUAAGUGUGGCAACCUUGACGACGCUUGCAGGAUGUUUGACAUACCUCCCACGAAGAACGUUGCUCUCUGGACUUCAAUGCUGUGCUCCUAUGCGUCCCAUGGGAAAGGUAGGAUGGCCAUAGAACUCUUCAACAGAAUGAUUGCAGAAAAGAUCAAGCCAAAUGAGGUCACCCUUGUCGGUGUUCUAUCUGCCUGUAGCCACGGCAGAUUGGUCAGUGAAGGAGAGCACUUCUUCAAGCUAAUGCAAGAAGAGUAUGGAAUUGUUCCAAGCAUCGAACAUUACAAUUGCAUGGUUGAUCUUUAUGGUCGAGCUGGACUGCUAGACAAAGCAAAUAAUUUCAUCAACGAAAACAAGAUUAAGCAUGAAUCUAUUGUUUGGAAGACAUUACUGUCAGCUUGUCGGGUUCACAAGGACAUGGAGCACGCAAAACUUGCUUCUGAAAGUUUGAUUCAACUGGAGCAAUGUGAUGCUGGAUCAUAUGUUAUGCUGUCAAACAUGUAUGCCACUCACAGCAAAUGGCGUGACACUUCGAAGCUCAGAAGUUUGAUGCGGGAAAGGGGGGUUCGAAAGCAACCCGGACAAUCUUGGAUCCAUCUGAAGAACAUUGUGCAUACUUUUGUCGCAGGGGACACGGCGCACCCGAGAUCAUCUGAAAUUUAUACCUGCUUGGCAAAGUUGAUGGAGAGAAUAAAGGAACUGGGGUACACCAGUAGAAUUGAUCUUGUUGCUCAUGAUGUGGAGGAGGAACAAAGGGAGACAGUUCUGAGGUUCCACAGUGAGAAGCUUGCCAUGGCGUUUGGGAUCAUCAGCACUCCCAAUGGGACUCCGCUUCGAAUCUUCAAGAACCUGCGUAUUUGUGUGGACUGCCAUGAAGCAAUCAAGUAUGUAAGCCGAGCCACAGAUAGGGAGAUCGUUGUGCGAGAUUUGUACCGGUUUCAUCAUUUCAAGGAUGCAAGGUGUUCUUGUGAGGAUUUCUGGUGA
rnacentral:rRNA from 1 species